rnacentral:rRNA from 1 species
UACGAAGGGGGCUAGCGUUGCUCGGAAUUACUGGGCGUAAAGCGCAUGUAGGCGGAUCCUUAAGUCGGUGGUGAAAUCCUGAAGCUCAACUUCAGAACUGCCUUCGAUACUGGGGACCUUGAGUUCGGGAGAGGUGAGUGGAACUGCGAGUGUAGAGGUGAAAUUCGUAGAUAUUCGCAAGAACACCAGUGGCGAAGGCGGCUCACUGGCCCGAUACUGACGCUGAGGUGCGAAAGCGUGGGGAGCAAACAGG